CCUACGUGGUGCAGCAGUGAGGAAUAUUGGUCAAUGGGCGCGAGCCUGAACCAGCCAAGUCGCGUGAGGGAUGACGGUCCUACGGAUUGUAAACCUCUUUUGCCGGGGAGCAAGCGUGCGUUCGUGAACGCGGGUCGAGAGUACCCGGAGAAAAAGCAUCGGCGAACUCCGUGCCAGCAGCCGCGGUAAUACGGAGGAUGCGAGCGGUAUCCGGAUUUAAUGGGUUUCAAGGGUGCGUAGGCGGGAUGCCAAGUCAGCGGUAAAAAUGCGGUGCUCAACGCCGUCGAGCCGUUGAAACUGGCGUUGUUGAGUGGGCGAGAAGUAUGCGGAAUGCGUGGUGGAGCGGUGAAAUGCAUAGAUAUCACGCAGAACUCCGAUUGCGAAGGCAGCAUACCGGCGCCCUACUGACGCUGAGGCACGAAAGCGUGGGUAUCGAACAGGAGUAGAUACCCGAGUAGUC
rnacentral:rRNA from 1 species